rnacentral:rRNA from 1 species
CGACUGUUUACCAUAAAAAUAGGUCUCCACAAAGUUUUAAGAUCAUGCAUGAGGGUUGACGUCUAUCCAAUGCCGAAAGAUCAAGGAAGGUGAUGACCUGAUGAUCGAAGAAUGGGCUACCUUGUCAGAUAAGUUCCGACUCGCAUGAAAGGCGUAACGA